rnacentral:rRNA from 1 species
UACGGAGGGUGCGAGCGUUGUCCGGAAUUACUGGGCGUAAAGAGCUCGUAGGUGGUUUGUCGCGUUGUUCGUGAAAACUCACAGCUCAACUGUGGGCGUGCGGGCGAUACGGGCAGACUGGAGUACUGCAGGGGAGACUGGAAUUCCUGGUGUAGCGGUGAAAUGCGCAGAUAUCAGGAAGAACACCCGUGGCUAAGGCGGCUCUCUAGUACGGCACUGACGCUGAGACGCGAAAGCGUGGGGAGCGAACAGG